UGUCCGGCUCCGAUUUGAUUUAUUUUUAUAUAUGUUAAAGAAUAGCCUAAAAUAACAGAAACGUAUUUUUUUAGCUGCCCAAAAGUAAACCUAUUGGGAGAAAUUGUCCUCCAAAGUACUAGAAAGUGAUCAAAUCCUAGAACUAAAAAAAAAUACGUGUCCGUUAUUUUAGACUACUCUAUAACAUAUAUCAAAAUAAAUCAAAUCGGAGUCGGACAGUUGGGUACCCUUCCUUGUAAGUAG